GUUUAUUUUUAAUGAAAUAUGUACAGGCCAGAUAGGCAUUUUCAAAGCUUUAGGCUCUGUAAGCAUUACCUGUUAAAGGCCAUCAUGAACCUGUGGUGAAUUCAUGCCCAUUUAAAACAAUGGUGCCUGGGUUCAAAUAAGACCCCUUUGUUUUUAUUUCAUAGAAUUUUUUUUUUUUUAAUUUUUUUCUUUUCUUUUGGGAUCCUAAAGUGGCAGUCUAUAUUGUGCCCAUUCCUUUGUAAAGGUAUUAAUGCCAUUCAUGAUAUUUAAGGGUGUUUUUUUUUUUUGAGGUGACCAGUGGUUUUCAAACUAGAACUCAAUGGUUCACGAUCCGAUGGCUUACUAUUAUUCAUUUAAGAAUCUUCGAAAAACAUGGUUGCCCAAUAGUCCUUGAGAGCUAGUUUUUGAUCCAUGGUCUGAAAUUAACAAAAUCCUUCCAAAUUUAGGUCCGUGAGAGUUUUAAACAUCGGGAAUUUCAGAACUUUAUGAAUUGUCACACAAAACGUCUUAUUGUGGCUUUUCAGAAUGGCCUUGGAUUGUUAAAGUAGUCAGUGAGCACCUGUACAAUAUAGGCGUCCCUUGCUUACUCGUUCUGAUCUGUGGGUCUCCAUUUGCAUUUUAUAUCUGUCUUGUAAGAGAGCUGAGCUCUUCCACAGCCUCCACCAUAGAGGAACCAUCAGUGGUGGAAUUUUCCUCCAUGUUGGAAGAUGUGGGAAUUCAUCUGGGCUGGGUCAACUUGUGCUAACUAGCUCUUGCUGGACUGUAAAUUCCACUGACAACCCUUAAGUAAGCCGUUGAUAAUGGCAGUAACAAUUAAGCAGCAAGUGAUAUGCCACUGAUUUAAAUAAUUAUGUAGUCACGUUUGCAAUUGCUUAACAUGCAAAAACAAUCAGGACAUCUUUCAUCUACUGUGCUAUGGCCUCUGGCUUCCUAUAGUACCGCGGCCAUCCUGAACUUCUCAGCUGUUCAAAGGCACCUACAGUUUACUAUACACACAUGUAUUAUACCCAUGUAAAAUAUUUCAGAUCAGAUGGGACUAUAGUUUUUUUUUUUUUCCUAGCAAAACUUAAAGGAGCACUAUAUAACCUAACAUAUUUUCAUAGUUAGUCUCUGCACAGUAAAAUAGGUGCCUUUUUAACAUGAUAUAGUAAGUGUUAGCAGACUGGUUGGUGUCCUAAAGCAGCAAGUGGCUUCAGUAAUUGUGUGUUUUUUUUUUUUUUUGUUUUUUUUUUUUCUAUAACCUCAUCAUAUUGUGGGUGCUAAAAAGCAAGACCCAGGUUGGCAGAAUUAUUCUCGGCUGUAACCAUAUUUCUUUGUGCACUGACUUAUAGAAGAAAGUAGAUUUCAUAGGGGUCAUUGUAACAUCUAUGGAAACUGCUUUUUGGUGUGAACUGUCAUUAAUACAAUAGCAUUUUUUCUUUUCUUUUUUUUUUUAAACUUUUUUUUUUUUUUUAUAUAUAUUGCAAAAUGAACCUAAUAAAUCUUUGCAAAUAACAAG